rnacentral:rRNA from 1 species
UACGUAGGGUGCAAGCGUUAAUCGGAAUUACUGGGCGUAAAGCGUGCGCAGGCGGUUGUGCAAGACAGGUGUGAAAUCCCCGGGCUCAACCUGGGAACUGCAUUUGUGACUGCACGGCUGGAGUGCGGCAGAGGGGGAUGGAAUUCCGCGUGUAGCAGUGAAAUGCGUAGAUAUGCGGAGGAACACCGAUGGCGAAGGCAAUCCCCUGGGCCUGCACUGACGCUCAUGCACGAAAGCGUGGGGAGCAAACAGG